GAUGAACGCUGGCGGCGUGCCUAAUACAUGCAAGUCGAGCGAACGGACGAGAAGCUUGCUUUUCUGAUGUUAGCGGCGGACGGGUGAGUAACACGUGGAUAACCUACCUAUAAGACUGGGAUAACUUCGGGAAACCGGAGCUAAUACCGGAUAAUACUUUGAACCGCAUGGUUCAAAAGUGAAAGACGGUCUUGCUGUCACUUAUAGAUGGAUCCGCGCUGCAUUAGCUAGUUGGUAAGGUAACGGCUUACCAAGGCAACGAUGCAUAGCCGACCUGAGAGGGUGAUCGGCCACACUGGAACUGAGACACGGUCCAGACUCCUACGGGAAGCAGCAGUAGGGAAUCUUCCGCAAUGGGCGAAAGCCUGACGGAGCAACGCCGCGUGAGUGAUGAAGGUCUUCGGAUCGUAAAACUCUGUUAUUAGGGAAGAACAUAUGUGUAAGUAACUGUGCACAUCUUGACGGUACCUAAUCAGAAAGCCACGGCUAACUACGUGCCAGCAGCCGCGGUAAUACGUAGGUGGCAAGCGUUAUCCGGAAUUAUUGGGCGUAAAGCGCGCGUAGGCGGUUUUUUAAGUCUGAUGUGAAAGCCCACGGCCCAACCGUGGAGGGUCAUUGGAAACUGGAAAACUUGAGUGCAGAAGAGGAAAGUGGAAUUCCAUGUGUAGCGGUGAAAUGCGCAGAGAUAUGGAGGAACACCAGUGGCGAAGGCGACUUUCUGGUCUGUAACUGACGCUGAUGUGCGAAAGCGUGGGGAUCAAACAGGAUUAGAUACCCUGGUAGUCCACGCCGUAAACGAUGAGUGCUAAGUGUUAGGGGGUUUCCGCCCCUUAGUGCUGCAGCUAACGCAUUAAGCACUCCGCCUGGGGAGUACGACCGCAAGGUUGAAACUCAAAGGAAUUGACGGGGACCCGCACAAGCGGUGGAGCAUGUGGUUUAAUUCGAAGCAACGCGAAGAACCUUACCAAAUCUUGACAUCCUUUGACAACUCUAGAGAUAGAGCCUUCCCCUUCGGGGGACAAAGUGACAGGUGGUGCAUGGUUGUCGUCAGCUCGUGUCGUGAGAUGUUGGGUUAAGUCCCGCAACGAGCGCAACCCUUAAGCUUAGUUGCCAUCAUUAAGUUGGGCACUCUAAGUUGACUGCCGGUGACAAACCGGAGGAAGGUGGGGAUGACGUCAAAUCAUCAUGCCCCUUAUGAUUUGGGCUACACACGUGCUACAAUGGACAAUACAAAGGGCAGCGAAACCGCGAGGUCAAGCAAAUCCCAUAAAGUUGUUCUCAGUUCGGAUUGUAGUCUGCAACUCGACUACAUGAAGCUGGAAUCGCUAGUAAUCGUAGAUCAGCAUGCUACGGUGAAUCCGUUCCCGGGUCU
rnacentral:rRNA from 1 species